AUUGAACGCUGGCGGCAUGCUUUACACAUGCAAGUCGAACGGUAACAGCACUUCGGUGGCUGACGAGUGGCGAACGGGUGAGUAAUACAUCGGAACGUGCCUAGUAGUGGGGGAUAACUACUCGAAAGAGUAGCUAAUACCGCAUGAGAUCUAAGGAUGAAAGCAGGGGACCUUCGGGCCUUGCGCUACUAGAGCGGCUGAUGGCAGAUUAGGUAGUUGGUGGGAUAAAAGCUUACCAAGCCGACGAUCUGUAGCUGGUCUGAGAGGACGACCAGCCACACUGGGACUGAGACACGGCCCAGACUCCUACGGGAGGCAGCAGUGGGGAAUUUUGGACAAUGGGCGCAAGCCUGAUCCAGCAAUGCCGCGUGCGGGAUGAAGGCCUUCGGGUUGUAAACUGCUUUUGUACGGAACGAAAAGCCCUCUUCUAAUACAGGAGGGUCAUGACGGUACCGUAAGAAUAAGCACCGGCUAACUACGUG
rnacentral:rRNA from 1 species